ACAGAAAAUGUGUUGGUUAUAGUCAUGCAUUUCAGAGAAUACUGUUGAAUUGAAAUGAUUAAAUCUGUGAGUUGAAUGUGUUCUAAGACAUUGAAGUUCACUUCUCAGGUAAGGAGCAACACCAGGUAUUGAAAUGGUAAAGUCAGUUAAUGUAGUUUGACACUUGUCAAGUUCGGUGAUGAUGUCAUCAGUCUGGGACAGAACAACACACAACGUGAGGGAGCAUGGAAGCGAAAAUAAGAAAAAAAGACACGUUCAGAGCAUAAAGGAUCGAGUCAUGAUAUAUGUACUGUCUAAUUAAUACUAAGAUAGGUUGCAAAUACACAACACCACCUUCUUGAGGCACCCCCUGUUGAAGGUGUCAUCAACACUGGACGGUGCUCGGUGCCCAUGAUAGAGCUGGCUGAGUUUACAACUUUCUGCAGCUUUUACCGAUUGUGAAGUAGUUAGAAUGUUCUCCAUGCUACAUCUGUAGAAAUCUGCGAGAGUCUUUACUGACAUACCAAAUGUACUCAAACUCCAAAUGAGAUGCAGCCACUGUCAUGUCUUCUUUGUGAUUGCAUCAAUAUGCUGGACCAAGGACAGAUCAUCAGAGAUAUUAACACCCAGGAACUGGAAACUGCUCACCCUUUCCACUGCUGAUCCCUCAAUGAAGACUGGUGUGUGUUCCCACGACUUCCCCUUCCUGAGACAGGAAGGUUUCAGGAAAUGUUGUCUUUGGUCAGAAACUGCAUUUCUCAUUGCAAUUCACAGCUCCGAUACUGCAUUUUAUUGGCAUUCCAGCAGCUAAAUGUCACGUAGCUGGGCCACUGACCUGCAGUCCCUGCUGUGACCUGACUGGCUCCUUGAUGUUUGAUUUUGUUUUCUCAGUCAAAGGUUGUAAGCAGAGAUGAGCAACCCACUCUGCAAACAAACCUGAUUUCAUUCCAAUGUACAAUUCUGUACAAAUUGAGCUUCAGGAUGAGUCUGAGCUGAAGUUGCCAAGCCAGCUGACAGCAGAUAUUGUCCAGUUUGUAAAUUUUCUAUUUCUCAUCUACAGAGUUGUCUGUCUUUAUCCAAAAUCCCUCCAUUGAAGAGAUGUGGAUCAACCAGACCGCUACUCUGGUGUGUAUGAUUGUGGGUGCUGAUCUGAGCCAGGUCCAAAUCCACUGGCAGGUGAACGAGGGGGAGAAAAUCAAAGCAAACGUGACCAAAAAUCUGAGAGAGGAAGGAACCCGAGACACAGUGAUCAGCCAACUCCAGACCAGUGUGGAGGAGUGGGCCAGUGGGAUGGAGUACACUUGCUCUGCCCAACAACCUUCUUCAACCUCACCAGUAUCAGCACGGAGAAAAAGUACCAAAGUUCCAGUGGAGACAAAAGGUCCCAAAGUCAGACUGCUGCCACCACCAGAGGGGGAGACCAAGAGUGGGAACAUGGUCACCCUCGAGUGUGUUGCCUCUGGAUUCUACCCGAACCAAAUAACCAUCACCUGGGAGAAAGGGGACUCUCUGAUCUCUUCCAACAUCAGUGUGAGACCAGCUGCUCUGGAACAGGCAGGGACUUUCAUUGCCAGCUACGUCCUGACCGUGAGACCAGAGGAGUGGAAGGAAGGCUCAGUUUUCAGAUGCACAGUGUCUCAUCCCCCCUCCAACACCAGCGUCAGGCUGGAUGUGAAAAACAUUCAAGAAACCUGCACAGACUUGACAGGAGAGGAGGGGAAGGAAGAACAGGGACACGUGGAUGGAGAUGACAAUGUGCCUACAGUUGCUGCCUUUGCCGUUCUGUUCAUCAUCAGUUUCCUCUACAGCACCUUCGUCACCGUUGUCAAGGCUCAGCAGUGACCAACAGAUACACACCCCACAUUCAGACAAGAGAUCCCCGUGUGGCUGCGAUGUUUAGAAAUGGAGUCUCCAUCUCACUCACUCGGCAAUCCGAGGCUACUGCACUGCAACUGCUCAUUUCAGAAAAUAAACCUCUAAAUGCACCGGGGAUGCCAGAUGGGAAAUGGGGGCACAGAGCCGGUUAGGUGGGCGGAGGGACAGCAGUGGAUGAUACAUUGGAAAAAUGGCAGGAUAUGUGACACUGGAGGGGGUAUACAGGAGGGGAGAGGAAGCUAAUGUUAAGGCUUGGGAAUGGGGAGCAGGGGAUGAGGGUGUAGUUUGUGAUGGAGAGGAGGGAGGUGAGGAAGAAGGUAAAAUGAGAGGGGGAGUGUGGUGGAGAGUGGGUUUGAGAUCUUGCUCUGUCAAAUUUUGUAAAUCAGAUGUUGUGGAAACCAUUGCCUGUAGCUUUUCCUUCAGUUUUCUG